UACGAAGGGGGCUAGCGUUGCUCGGAAUCACUGGGCGUAAAGCGCACGUAGGCGGCUUUCUAAGUCAGGGGUGAAAUCCUGGAGCUCAACUCCAGAACUGCCUUUGAUACUGGGAGCUCGAGUCCGGAAGAGGUGAGUGGAACUCCGAGUGUAGAGGUGAAAUUCGUAGAUAUUCGGAAGAACACCAGUGGCGAAGGCGGCUCACUGGUCCGGUACUGACGCUGAGGUGCGAAACGUGGGGAGCAAACAGGG
rnacentral:rRNA from 1 species